UGCACGUGCAAGUGCAGGCCUCUCGUAACAAGGCGAAACCGCGAAUGGCUCAUUAAAUCAGUUAUGGUUCCUUGGAUCGUACCUCGCUACUUGGAUACCUGUGGCAAUUCUAGAGCUAAUACGUGCAGCCGAGCUCCGACCCGCGAGGGGACGAGCGCUUUUAUUAGACCGAGACCGACUCUGAAUCGGUGGCGACUCUGUAUAACUUUGUGCCGAUCGAAGGGGCCCGACCCCUCGACGUAUCCUUCAAGUGUCUGCCUUAUCAACUGUCGAUGGUAGGUUACGCGCCUACCAUGGUCGUCACGGGUGACGGGGAAUCAGGGUUCGAUUCCGGAGAGGGAGCCCGAGAAACGGCUACCACAUCCAAGGAAGGCAGCAGGCGCGCAAAUUACCCACUCCCGGCACGGGGAGGUAGUGACGAAAAAUAACGAUGCGGGACUCUUUCGAGACCCCGCCAUCGGAAUGAGUACGCUCCAAAUCCUCUACCGAGGAUCCAUCGGAGGGCAAGUCUGGUGCCAGCAGCCGCGGUAAUUCCAGCUCCGAUAGCGUAUGCUAAAGUUGCUGCGGUUAAAAAGCUCGUAGUCGGAUCCGAGUCGCGGCCGUGGCGGCCAGCRAUGAAGCKUGGCACCGCCCGCGCCCGGCUGCAGCGCCGACGUCUCCGUCGGUGGUCUUGACCGGCCGCCGGCGCGAGGAGCGGCGAUUUCACUUUGAAAAAAUUAGAGUGCUCAGAGCAGGCCCGCGCGGCCCGGAURAUGGUGCAUGGAAUGAUGGAAUAGGACCUCGGUUCUAUCUCCGUCGGUCUCUCGAAUCCGAGGUGAUGAUCGAGAGGAACGGCCGGGGGCAUCCGUAUUGCGACGCUAGAGGUGAAAUUCUUGGACCGUCGCAAGACGAACCGCAGCGAAAGCGUUUGCCAAGGACGCUUCCGUUGAUCAAGAACGAAAGUCAGAGGUUCGAAGGCGAUCAGAUACCGCCCUAGUUCUGACCGUAAACGAUGCCAGCCAGCAAUCCGGCAGCGUUCUCUUCGUAAUGACGCGCCGGGCGGCUUCCGGGAAACCAAAGCCUUUGGGUUCCGGGGGAAGUAUGGUUGCAAAGCUGAAACUUAAAGGAAUUGACGGAAGGGCACCACCAGGAGUGGAGCCUGCGGCUUAAUUUGACUCAACACGGGAAAACUCACCCGGCCCGGACACAGGCAGGAUUGACAGAUCGAGAGCUCUUUCUUGAUUCUGUGGGUGGUGGUGCAUGGCCGUUCUUAGUUGGUGGAGCGAUCCGUCUGCUUGAUUGCGAUAACGAACGAGACUCUGGCCUGCCAACUAGAAGCUCCGAUACCCCUUCUAGCGGGUCGGUCGCUAACAAGCUCUCUUCUUGGAGGGACGAGCGACGUAAAAGUCGUACGAGAAAGAGCAAUAACAGGUCUGUGAUGCCCUCAGAUGUCCGGGGCCGCACGCGCGCUACACUGAAGCGAUCAGCGAGCGCUCCCGACCCGAGAGGGCCGGGGAACCCGCGGAAACCGCUUCGUGCUGGGAACAGGGGCUUGUAAUUGUCCCCCUCGAACGAGGAAUUCCCAGUAAGCGCCGGUCAUCAGCCGGCGUUGAUUACGUCCCUGCCCUUUGUACACACCGCCCGUCGCUACUACCGAUCGAAUGGUUUGGUGAGGUCUUCGGACUGGCACCCGGAGCGGUCCCUCGCGGUCGCGCCGGGGUUCGCCGGAAAGUCGACCGAACUUGUCCAUUUAGAGGAAGUAAAAGUCGUAACAAGGUUUCC
rnacentral:rRNA from 1 species